rnacentral:rRNA from 1 species
UGGGGAAUAUUGGACAAUGGGCGAAAGCCUGAUCCAGCCAUGCCGCGUGUGUGAAGAAGGCCCUCGGGUCGUAAAGCACUUUAAGUUGGGAGGAAGGGCUUACAGCGAAUACCUGUGAGUUUUGACGUUACCAACAGAAUAAGCACCGGCUAACUUCGUGCCAGCAGCCGCGGUAAUACGAAGGGUGCAAGCGUUAAUCGGAAUUACUGGGCGUAAAGCGCGCGUAGGUGGCUUGAUAAGUUGGAUGUGAAAUCCCCGGGCUCAACCUGGGAACUGCAUCCAAAACUGUCUGGCUAGAGUGUGGUAGAGGGUAGUGGAAUUUCCAGUGUAGCGGUGAAAUGCGUAGAUAUUGGAAGGAACACCAGUGGCGAAGGCGACUACCUGGACUAACACUGACACUGAGGUGCGAAAGCGUGGGGAGCAAACAGG